AUUGAACGCUGGCGGCAGGCCUAACACAUGCAAGUCGAGCGGGGUUUUCGGACCUAGCGGCGGACGGGUGAGUAAUGCGUAGGAAGCUGCCCGAUAGAGGGGGAUACCAGUUGGAAACGACUGUUAAUACCGCAUAAUGUCUACGGACCAAAGUGUGGGACCUUCGGGCCACAUGCUAUCGGAUGCGCCUACGUGGGAUUAGCUAGUUGGUGAGGUAAUGGCUCGCCAAGGCGACGAUCUCUAGCUGGUUUGAGAGGAUGAUCAGCCACACUGGAACUGAGACACGGUCCAGACUCCUACGGGAGGCAGCAGUGGGGAAUAUUGGACAAUGGGCGCAAGCCUGAUCCAGCCAUGCCGCGUGUGUGAAGAAGGCCUUCGGGUUGUAAAGCACUUUCAGCGAGGAGGAAGGGUGGUGUGUUAAUAGCACAUCAUUUUGACGUUACUCGCAGAAGAAGCACCGGCUAACUCUGUGCCAGCAGCCGCGGUAA
rnacentral:rRNA from 1 species